rnacentral:rRNA from 1 species
UUGGAGGGCAAGUCUGGUGCCAGCAGCCGCGGUAAUUCCAGCUCCAAUAGCGUAUAUUAAAGUUGUUGCAGUUAAAAGGCUCGUAGUUGAAUUUCGAGAUCGGCUUACUGGUCGUGCUUUUGUACGUACUGGUAUAAUCGGUUUCUCCUUUCUGACGAACUUUAAUGCCAUUAAUUUGGUGUUUUAGGGAAUCAGGACUGUUACUUUGAAAAAAUUAGAGUGUUUAAAGCAGGCUCACGCUUGAAUACAUUAGCAUGGAAUAACGGAAUAGGACGUUUGAUUCUAUUUUGUUGGUUUCUAGGAUCGACGUAAUGAUUAAUAGGGAUAGUUGGGGGCAUUAGUAUUCAAUUGUCAGAGGUGAAAUUCUUGGAUUUAUUGAAGACUAACUACUGCGAAAGCAUUUGCCAAGGAUGUUUUCAUUAAUCAAGAACGAAAGUUAGGGGAUCGAAGACGAUCAGAUACCGUCGUAGUCUUAACCAUAAACUAUGCCGACUAGGGAUCGGAUGAUGUUAAUUUUUUAAUGACUCAUUCGGCGCCUUACGGGAAAC